rnacentral:sRNA from 1 species
ACCUUUCUCGUCGAGUAAAUCUC